UUUGCAUUUGCAGAAUGCUUGCCUAGAUAAUGCUGAGUGCAGCAUAAAGAAAUACUACGUGUGCCCAUGGCACUGAUGAUCUCAGUUGGCUUCAUGGUGAAAUACAGGCACAGGGUGGCCCAGAUAAUAGGAUGACGAAUAGAACUACUUCAUCAUCUGUUGAGCCCUCAGUCCUACUCAGAGCUGCUUUUUCUCUGUUAAAAGAUGUUUUGUCCUGUUAUGUUAAGUCAUCUUGACAUACUGCCAUGAAAUGGAAAUAACUGCUAGUUUUAACUUUGUUCCGUAUCAUUAUUAAAAGAGUCAUCAAUCUCAUGAGAGUCAUCUUGCCAUCUGUACCAGCAUUGCUCCAGGCUUCCAUAUGAAAGUCCAAUCUGGCGGUAUAAAUACUGGAUAAUGAAGACACUAGCAGAGUCUUUACACUGCACACCACUGCUGACCCCAGAAAUGACCCACAGGAACUACUGGCGAAAGAAGCGAAAAGGUCAAUCAAUGAAACAGACUCCUGUAACACCACCUGCUAAUGCCAGGUUACACUUGAUUCUAGAUGAGCCACG
rnacentral:lncRNA from 1 species